AUGGAUUUUUUUUUUCACACUAUAAAGCGACCAAAUAAUUUUUAUUUCUAGAUUCAUAAAAGAAUAAAUAUGGUUAAAUUUUAUAUGUUUACUUAUGCUAUGAUUAUCUUUUUUACGAUAUUUAUUUCUACAGCAAAUGUAUAUGGCAUCCCUAUUUUGUGCCGAACGGAUACUGACGACUGUGAUGUUCAAGAAGAAGCAUAAUAAUUUUAUGACCUUUAAAUGUUUAUAGAAAUGUUCCUAUUGCGUCGGAAUUUCGAAAAUACGUUGUAUUGAUUUUUGAAAAAUUGGCAAACUAUACCGGUUGUUUUAAAUUUUACAGACUCGUAUUGCUGUUAAAAUUUAAACGAAGACUUUAUAAAUCGACUGUAAUUAGAAUUUGAUCACCUCAUUAUAUUUUUUUUAGCCAAAGAGAAAAUAUUAUUAGUAUAAAAAUUUAUUUAAAAGAUUUUAAAUUGUUUUAAUUUAAAUGGUUUACUGUAGAAUUUCUCUAUUUUCGUAAAAGCUUUCCGUGAACUAAUUGUGAUGCAUCUGAGAACGAACACAGGAACCGAGCGAAAGGAUGUGACACAAAGUCACAAAAUAUCUAGAUAUUAACAUUUUUUUUUGAUAAGCAGAUAUUAACAUUUUGUAACUUCAAGAGUAACUUUUAAGUAAGGUUAAAUAUGUUUUUAGUCACUACAUUUUGCUUUAUAGUCAAUAAUAGUCUCUACUUUUUUAUGGUGAAAAAAUAUCCUACAAUUUUUUGCGUUAGCAAUUUCGGUCCCUACCAUAUGCUUUCGUUCUUGUCAGCUAACGGAGUACUUAAGUGACAUUUAGUGGGACCCAAUAUUUUUAAUGUUAGGCCAAACAGUACCUUAAUGAUGUCUUUAAGUCAAAUUACUUUCAAAGCAUUUUUAAUGGUGACAAAAACUGCAUAGACAUACAGUGGUUUAGUGGAGAGAAGGUUAUUCCUUGUUUGGUUAAUGAUAAUAUUAAGGAGAAUGUUAACUUGUACACCUAAGGGCACGUGAUAACAAGACCCUAAUAUUAAUAAUAUGACUACUAUGCUGUCUAACAAUGUCUUCUAAUAAUAUGAAAUCCAGAAUGCAGUGUCUUCUAUGAACAAGGAUGGAGCUUCUGGCCCUAUGGUUUUGGAGCAUUUUUUACUAACACUACUGAGAAAUUGUGAAUUCGGAUGUUGUCAAGGCUACCAUUUCGUUGAUCAACCAAAUACGAUUGAAGAUAAUAUAUAUCGGAUUUGGAUC